rnacentral:rRNA from 1 species
AGACCCGAAACCCGGUGAUCUAGCCAUGGGCAGGUUGAAGGUUGGGUAACACUAACUGGAGGACCGAACCGACUAAUGUUGAAAAAUUAGCGGAUGACCUGUGGCUGGGGGUGAAAGGCCAAUCAAACCGGGAGAUAGCUGGUUCUCCCCGAAAGCUAUUUAGGUAGCGCCUCGUGAAUUCAUCUCCGGGGGUAGAGCACUGUUUCGGCUAGGGGGCCAUCCCGGCUUACCAACCCGAUGCAAACUGCGAAUACCGGAGAAUGUUAUCACGGGAGACACACGGCGGGUGCUAACGUCCGUCGUGAAGAGGGAAACAACCCAGACCGCCAGCUAAGGUCCCAAAGUCAUGGUUAAGUGGGAAACGAUGUGGGAAGGCCCAGACAGCCAGGAUGUUGGCUUAGAAGCAGCCAUCAUUUAAAGAAAGCGUAAUAGCUCACUGGUCGAGUCGGCCUGCGCGGAAGAUGUAACGGGGCUAAACCAUGCACCGAAGCUGCGGCAGCGACACUCAGGUGUUGUUGGGUAGGGGAGCGUUCUGUAAGCCUGUGAAGGUGUGUCGUGAGGCAUGCUGGAGGUAUCAGAAGUGCGAAUGCUGACAUAAGUAACGAUAAAGCGGGUGAAAAGCCCGCUCGCCGGAAGACCAAGGGUUCCUGUCCAACGUUAAUCGGGGCAGGGUGAGUCGACCCCUAAGGCGAGGCCGAAAGGCGUAGUCGAUGGGAAACGGGUUAAUAUUCCCGUACUUGGUGUUACUGCGAAGGGGGGACGGAGAAGGCUAUGUUGGCCGGGCGACGGUUGUCCCGGUUUAAGCGUGUAGGUGUGUGUUCCAGGUAAAUCCGGUUCACUUUAACACUGAGGCGUGACGACGAGGCACUACGGUGCUGAAGCAACAAAUGCCCUGCUUCCAGGAAAAGCCUCUAAGCAUCAGGUAACAUCAAAUCGUACCCCAAACCGACACAGGUGGUCAGGUAGAGAAUACCAAGGCGCUUGAGAGAACUCGGGUGAAGGAACUAGGCAAAAUGGUGCCGUAACUUCGGGAGAAGGCACGCUGACACGUAGGUGAAGUGAUUUACUCAUGGAGCUGAAGUCAGUCGAAGAUACCAGCUGGCUGCAACUGUUUAUUAAAAACACAGCACUGUGCAAACACGAAAGUGGACGUAUACGGUGUGACGCCUGCCCGGUGCCGGAAGGUUAAUUGAUGGGGUCAGCGCAAGCGAAGCUCCUGAUCGAAGCCCCGGUAAACGGCGGCCGUAACUAUAACGGUCCUAAGGUAGCGAAAUUCCUUGUCGGGUAAGUUCCGACCUGCACGAAUGGCGUAAUGAUGGCCAGGCUGUCUCCACCCGAGACUCAGUGAAAUUGAACUCGCUGUGAAGAUGCAGUGUACCCGCGGCAAGACGGAAAGACCCCGUGAACCUUUACUAUAGCUUGACACUGAACAUUGAGCCUUGAUGUGUAGGAUAGGUGGGAGGCUUUGAAGCGUGGACGCCAGUCUGCGUGGAGCCGACCUUGAAAUACCACCCUUUAAUGUUUGAUGUUCUAACGUGGACCCGUUACCCGGGUUGCGGACAGUGUCUGGUGGGUAGUUUGACUGGGGCGGUCUCCUCCUAAAGAGUAACGGAGGAGCACGAAGGUUGGCUAAUCCUGGUCGGACAUCAGGAGGUUAGUGCAAUGGCAUAAGCCAGCUUGACUGCGAGCGUGACGGCGCGAGCAGGUGCGAAAGCAGGUCAUAGUGAUCCGGUGGUUCUGAAUGGAAGGGCCAUCGCUCAACGGAUAAAAGGUACUCCGGGGAUAACAGGCUGAUACCGCCCAAGAGUUCAUAUCGACGGCGGUGUUUGGCACCUCGAUGUCGGCUCAUCACAUCCUGGGGCUGAAGUAGGUCCCAAGGGUAUGGCUGUUCGCCAUUUAAAGUGGUACGCGAGCUGGGUUUAGAACGUCGUGAGACAGUUCGGUCCCUAUCUGCCGUGGGCGCUGGAGAACUGAGGGGGGCUGCUCCUAGUACGAGAGGACCGGAGUGGACGCAUCACUGGUGUUCGGGUUGUCAUGCCAAUGGCACUGCCCGGUAGCUAAAUGCGGAAGAGAUAAGUGCUGAAAGCAUCUAAGCACGAAACUUGCCCCGAGAUGAGUUCUCCCUGAGACUUUAGGUCUCCUGAAGGAACGUUGAAGACGACGACGUUGAUAGGCCGGGUGUGUAAGCGCAGCGAUGCGUUGAGCUAACCGGUACUAAUGAACCGUGAGG